GGGUUGUAAACCUCUUUUGGCAGGGAAGAAGCGAAAGUGACGGUACCUGCAGAAAAAGCACCGGCUAACUACGUGCCAGCAGCCGCGGUAAUACGUAGGGUGCAAGCGUUGUCCGGAAUUAUUGGGCGUAAAGAGCUCGUAGGCGGUGUGUCACGUCUGCUGUGAAAAUCCAAGGCUCAACCUUGGACUUGCAGUGGGUACGGGCACACUCGAGUGCGGUAGGGGAGAUUGGAAUUCCUGGUGUAGCGGUGGAAUGCGCAGAUAUCAGGAGGAACACCGAUGGCGAAGGCAGAUCUCUGGGCCGUAACUGACGCUGAGGAGCGAAAGCGUGGGGAGCGAACAGGAUUAGAUACCCUGGUAGUCCACGCCGUAAACGGUGGGAACUAGAUGUGGGGUCCGUUCCACGGAUUCCGUGUCGCAGCUAACGCAUUAAGUUCCCCGCCUGGGGAGUACGGCCGCAAGGCUAAAACUCAAAGGAAUUGACGGGGGCCCGCACAAGCGGCGGAGCAUGCGGAUUAAUUCGAUGCAACGCGAAGAACCUUACCAAGGCUUGACAUAUAGAGGAAAAGUGCAGAGAUGCACUCCCCGCAAGGUCUCUAUACAGGUGGUGCAUGGUUGUCGUCAGCUCGUGUCGUGAGAUGUUGGGUUAAGUCCCGCAACGAGCGCAACCCUCGUCCUAUGUUGCCAGCACGUAAUGGUGGGAACUCAUGGGAUACUGCCGGGGUCAACUCGGAGGAAGGUGGGGAUGACGUCAAAUCAUCAUGCCCCUU
rnacentral:rRNA from 1 species